rnacentral:rRNA from 1 species
GGCAAUAGCUCAAAUUUGAAAUCUGGSGUCUUCGGCGUCCGAGUUGUAAUUUGAAGAAGGUAUCUUUGGAAUUGGCUCUUGUCUAUGUUUCUUGGAACAGGACGUCACAGAGGGUGAGAAUCCCGUGCGAUGAGAUGCCCAAUUUCKUGUAAAGUUCCUUCKMCRAGWCRAGUUGUUUGGGAAUGCASCUCUAAGUGGGUGGKAAAUUCCAUCUAAAGCUAAAUAUUGGSGAGAGACCGAUAGCGAACAAGUACUGUGAAGGAAAGAUGAAAAGAACUUUGAAAAGAGAGUGAAAAAGUACGUGAAAUUGUUGAAAGGGAAGGGCUUGAGGUCASACUUGGUUUACCAGGCCASCAUCAGUUUGGAUGGSAGGAUAAUAGCUAARAAAUGUGGCUCCACUUCKGUGGKGUGUUAUAGUCUUGGKUGAUACUGCCUAUCUAGACUGAGGACUGCGUCUUUGACUAGGAUGCUGGCAUAAUGACCUUAAGCCGCCCGUCUUG